GCUUAGAGUGUGUCUGCGGCAGCUGGCACGGUAGCGAAGUGCAGUGUUUGUCCCUGUCGGUUUUGCAUCUGUGCAUAAUGGUGUUCCCCUCCACCUCCCCUCCCCAUGUAACACAAGAGUCACAAAAUCAUAGGAUACUAGGUUGGAAAGGACCUUAACGAUCAUCCGAAUUACAAGAAAUCAAAAGCCUUUUUUGUUAGACAUUUCAAAGUGUUUACAACGCUAAGAUAUUUGGUAACUUCCAUGGUUUUUUGGUGUGGGUUGGGUUUUUUUUGUGUUGGUUGAUUUUUUGACAUUCAUUACUUUUUUUCAAUACUGUAAGCAAUUUUGAGAGUAGUUCUUUAUAUGUGGUUCUAUGUUAAAACUUUAUUAUAUCUGAUUUUACUCUGGGUAGCCAAUGUUCUGUAACUGCUCUAUCAUGAAUUCUUACAGGCAAAACCUAUGUGUUACUUUUUACACCUUCCCAAGGUAUUAUUUUUUAACAAAUCAACUGUUACUUUAUGAUCUCUCAAGCUAUAUAGUUUGUAGUGAUGGUCGUUGCCAGUUUUUACAUAUAGAGGCCUGGUGUAGAAAGGAUUGUUGAUACUUUUGGGAAACAGCCUAUAUGGUUAAAUGAGUUCCUGUGAGAGUAUCUUCUGUGAGUAUUUACGUUGCAGAUUAGUGCUUCAGUUUUAUGGCAGACUCUUUGAGAUUUGUCUUGAGAUCUGGUUAAGUUGGCAAAACCAUAGCGUGGAUCAUUUUGUAAGAUUAGGCAGGAAGAACAGCUGCCUGUUGCCAAAUGCUUGAGGUUAAAUUGUCCCUAACCUUUAACAGAGUAUUGUGUACUUAUAUUUGGCACAAACCUAAUGAUUAAAGAGCAAGGACUUGAUAAUUAAAUAGUAAGAAAGUACUUUAAAAAGGGCAGAACACAUGUGAAGAUCUUUCUUCAUCUUCUUGAUAAUUGCUGAUUUAAGCACCAUGGAGACACGGAAAGGGGGGUAGGGGGGAAAGGCAAACACCCCAGAAAUAAACCCAGACCAUUGUGAGUGCAAGCUUUAAGGUUUGGUGGUGGUGUGGGUUUUGUUGGCAUUUGGUUUAUUUGUUUGGGGUUGUUUGUUUUUGUUGGGUUGGUUUGUUUUUUUUUUGUUUGGUUGGCUUGUUGCUUUGUGGUUUUGUGUUUGUUUUUUUUUUUUUCUUCUCUGCAAGUAGAAGUGUGUGGUCAAAAAGUUCCUUUCAAGAAGACUCAUUGCUUUAAUGAAUAUGACCAAAUAACAAAGCUGCAAACUGGAGUACCCAUCGGAGUUACUAUGUCUAGCCUUACUAUUCUGGCAAGGCUAGACGUAAUCUCUUUGGAGUGUUUGGUCCUUUGGUCUGAAUCUCGUGUCAGCAAGAGAAAUGAUAUAAAAUGCUGUAUCUCAAGGGUAUCUUUUCCAUGUAUAGGCUGUCUGGUAAUGCCUCUUUACUGCUUGGAUUGGUAGGCUUAAAGUAUGUGUUCUGUGUCAAAAGAAAUUCAGCGUAGACAGUGGCAGGCAGGUUCUAGCAGAAAACUGAACAUUAAAUUUCUGUUCUAAGGCUUUAUAGCUGAAACCAUUACUUUUACUGAGGCUUUUGGGGGAAGUACUGUAGAGGAUUAAGCUGGUCACAAGCAGAUUUCAAGGUUGUGAGGAAGAACUGUUUUUGUGAAGUGUCAAUCUGUACUUCUGUACUUUCACUAACAUUCUCUCUCUUUUCCCUCUGCCUCCACCCUUGUUUUUUCUCUAAACCAGUGAAAAAACUGAGUUUGGCAGUUUACUAAUAGACUUUCCCAAGUCCUGUCAGUCUGUCCAGAUUACUAAAAUGCAAGCUGUUUUCAAUUGUGACUUAAGAGCUGGGCAGUCAUCCAGUAUGUGCUUUUAAAGCCUUGUAUUGAAGAAGAGCUAAUUAAUAUUGGCUGCUUAUAAACAAAUGGCUGCAAGAUAGAGUAAAUAGUACUUGUAGGCUAUCUCUAAAUAUAGAUGUAUUGUGAAGCAAUGAAGUGGGUACAGGAUUCUUUAAGAUAAUUGCUAGUACUGAUAUUUGAGAAUUUACUAAUUGGUUCUGUUUGGUAUAAUGUAUUAAAAGUAUGAGCUUCCUAUACUUCCCUUCGAUAGAUGUAAAAGCUGUCGCAUCUCCCUGUCUCACCUUCUUUAUUCCCCCCCGCAGUCUUUCUUGAAGUCUUCAGUUUCUUUACAGGAUAGUUCUGCAGGGAGAAAGGCACCAUUUUUUUUGUAGUAUGCACCAAGUCCCUAGGAGGAGAAUUACGUUUCUUUCAUAAUCCGAAAGAAGAAUAGCAUUUGGAAUAAUGGCAACAGGAGACCUAAAAGGAAGUUUAAGAAAAAUAGAGCAAGGACUUCGCUUGAUAAAUUAUCCAAGAGAUGUGGAUUAUACAGUGCUAGUAAAAGGUGAUCCAGCUGCAUUUUUACCUAUCAUCAGCUAUUCUUUUACAUCUUUUUCAACUUACGUAGCAGAGCUUUUGGUAAAGUGCAAUGUGGAACUCACAGCAAAGAGUGACUUGCGUUUUAUUGAAGCUAUUUAUAAGCUUCUUCGAGAUCAAUUUCAAUAUAAACCAAUUUUAACAAAACAGCAGUUUCUUCAGUUUGGCUUUGCAGAAAGAAAAAUGCAGAUUGUUUGUGACAUUAUCAACUGUGUGGUGAAAAAACAUAAGGAAUUAAGUAACUCGAAUAAGGUUAAAUCCCAAACAAGGAAAAAACCCAGAUCUUUUAAAUCUGAAAUAUGGUCAAAUUGUGAUAAUGUCGUUACUGAUACUAGUGACCGUGCUCUGAAUUCCAAACAGAAGCCUCUAGUAGAACGGCACUCAGGAAAUGAAAUUGGUGGUGACUUUCAUCCAUUACCCCUUCCAGCACAAGGAGGUAAUGAAGAAGAAUUGUGCCUAGAUCAGGAUAUUGUCGAAGUUAAUUGUGAACAAAUCAUAGAAGAUAAUUCUCAGAUUGAGUCCCUGAAGAAUCAGCUUGCUGAUUGCCAGGAAAAGCUUCGUAAGCUGGAUUGGGUGGAAGAUAAACUACAUGUUUUAGAAGAGAAACUGGAAGGAAAGGUGAUCAUAGAUGAGAAGGACUGGAAUAACUUGUUGAGUCGAGUUUUGCUUCUUGAAACAGAACUGUUGUUGCAAUCCAAAAAGAGAGAGUUACCUGCAGAGUUAAGCAAUUUAAGUCACGAAGGUUCUUCUAGUAGGUUGCCAGUUUCCCCUGCUUAUUUGAUAACUGACCCUGCAAUAAGAGAGCAAAAGUCAAAGGUGACCCAAACCCACCUGUUUCUGCAUAGAUACAGAAAGGAAGGAGGACAUGCCAGAGUGUCUUCGUCAGUUGUCUGGAUACAGUUUACUAUUAUCCACAGACCCAUCUCCCAGAGCUGUGACCAUUAAUUCUCAGGAUCUGACAGACAUUUCAAAGGAGACAACAAAACAAAGAAUGGAAAGGAUAAGUAAAAUAAUUGAAGAAACCUCAGAAUUGUUGAAAACAUCAAGCAACAACUCUGAGAAGAUCUGAAAGCACAGGUCUUCAGUCCUGGUGUCUGUAAACUUAUGGAUAUCAGACCUAAUAUGUAUGUUUGUACAGCAUUAAGUUUUUAAUAUAUCAAAUUUGUAAUGAUCACCAGUGCUUUUAUUCCUUUGAAUAAAUAUUUCUCUAAUGCA